UUUGGUGGCGAUAGCGAAGAGGUCACACCCGUUCCCAUACCGAACACGGAAGUUAAGCUCUUCAGCGCCGAUGGUAGUCGGGGGUUUCCCCCUGUGAGAG
rnacentral:rRNA from 1 species